rnacentral:rRNA from 1 species
GACGUAGGGUCCGAGCGUUGUCCGGAGUUAUUGGGCGUAAAGAGCGUGUAGGCGGCCAGGUAGGUCGGUUGUGAAAACUAGAGGCUCAACCUCUAGACGUCGACCGAAACCAUCUGGCUAGAGUCCGGAAGAGGAGAGUGGAAUUCCUGGUGUAGCGGUGAAAUGCGCAGAUAUCAGGAAGAACACCGGUGGCGAAGGCGGUUCUCUGGGCCUGUACUGACGCUGGAGGAACGAAAGCGUGGGGAGCGAACAGG